rnacentral:lncRNA from 1 species
AUGCCACGGGAGCGGCCCGAGAAAUGGCAAAAAGACCAAGAAAAAAAAAAUCCGAGAGAGGCUAGAUCCCCUGUUAAGUGUCAUGACCACAUAGAAUUACAAAGAACGCAGCGGCACUGGGGAGGGAGGGUUGCCCCCAUUUGUGGUCUUUGCACGAGGGCUCCAGGGCUGCCUCUCCCCCGGGAGGCUCCUCCUGAAGGACCUGUACUCCCUGUCCCCGUGCUCAGCAGUUUCCCCCGAAUGGAGCAGGAGGAGGCUGUUCACAAAGCCUCUUUGUCCCUCCAGAUGGUUCCAUUUAGGCUGCGGUCUCCCUGGCGUAUCACUGAUGGGUGUCUCGAGCCCCCUGCUCUGCAAGCCCAGCUCUGGAGAAGCCCGCGACGGCCGCUGUCCCCACCGGGCUGCCGAGCGGCCCGCAGCCGAGCCCUGACACACCGACACCCUGCUGCGAGGUCCCCACCUGCUCUGGGCCCAAGACUGGAAAAUGCCAGCGCGGCCUCAGGCUCGAACCCGGAGAUGGGCCUCUGCCCCAAGCCCGCGGGAACAGCAGCCGUGGGCUCGGCAGGCGACAGGGGCCCGAGGCAGCUGAGCCUCACGGGCCUUCUCUCAGGAGGACGGGUCUUCGCCGGAAGAGCCCUGCUGACGCUGCGUGUCACUGUGGAAGGUGCCCGUCGCCGUGUGCUCUUCAGAUGCGCCCGUGGCGAGGGCAGGCAGCAGAGGAUGGGGCGCCGUCCUGGAGCUGCUCGCUGCUCGGCUGCCAGGGCCUCCCACUGUUGGCUUUGGAGCCGCUUCCCCAGGAAGCCGGUUUCUUAUCCCGAGCCCUGCACCUUGAUGCCGUGUGGCUUGCCGCGUCUUGGAAUGGAUCACGUCCCGUGGCUCUCGAGGGACAGCAAACAUGGUGACCUGCUAUCUCUAAGAGGCAGCCGGAGCUUGGGGGAGACCACGGACCCGGAGGAGAGCGGGAAAGCCUCAAGGUUUCCUAGAGGUCAAAGGCCUCCUUGUCGUGCCCAUGGUGCAUGGGUGAGGAAUUAA